rnacentral:rRNA from 1 species
UGAGCGAUGGAUCUCUUGGUUCCUUGCAUCGUUGAAGGUCGCAGCGGAUUGCGAAAUGUUGGUCGUGUGAAUUGCAAGACACAUUGGCCCAUUUUUUGGGCUGCGGAACACCUUACUCACUGAACGUUUAUAUCGCU